rnacentral:rRNA from 1 species
CCUACGGGUGGCAGCAGUGAGGAAUAUUGGUCAAUGGCCGUAAGCCUGAACCAGCCAAGUAGCGUGAAGGAUGAAUGACCUACGGGUUGUAAACUUCUUUUAUAAAGGAAUAAAGUGAGCCACGUGUGCCUUUUUGUAUGUACUUUAUGAAUAAGGAUCGGCUAACUCCGUGCCAGCAGCCGCGGUAAUACGGAGGAUGCGAGCGUUAUCCGGAUUUAUUGGGUUUAAAGGGAGCGUAGAUUGUUUUUUAAGUCAGCUGUGAAAGUUUGCGGCUCAACCGUAAAAUUGCAAUUGAUACUGGCAGUCUUGAGUACAGUUGAGGUAGGCGGAAUGCGUGGUGUAGCGGUGAAAUGCUUAGAUAUCACGAAGAACUCCGAUUGCGAAGGCAGCUUACUAAGCUGUCACUGACAUUGAUGCUCGAAAGUGUGGGGAUCAAACAGGAUUAGAUACCCUAGUAGUC